rnacentral:rRNA from 1 species
GUGAACGCUGGCGGCGUGCCUAAUACAUGCAAGUCGAACGAACGAAUCAGAGCUUGCUCUUAUAAGUUAGUGGCGCACGGGUGAGUAAUAUAUAGCUAAUCUGCCUCUUAGUAGAGGAUAACAGUCGGAAACGAUUGCUAAUACUCUAUACUUCUGCUUUACAUAAGUAAAGUAGAGAAAGUUUUUCGCUAAGAGAUGAGGCUAUACUGUAUCAGCUAGUUGGUAAGGUAACGGCUUACCAAGGCUAUGACGCAUAACUGGUCUGAGAGGAUGAUCAGUCACAUUGGAACUGAGACACGGUCCAAACUCCUACGGGAGGCAGCAGUAGGGAAUAUUGCGCAAUGGGGGAAACCCUGACGCAGCAACGCCGCGUGGAGGAUGACACUUUUCGGAGCGUAAACUCCUUUUAUCGGGAAAGAAUAAUGACGGUACCCGAUGAAUAAGCACCGGCUAACUCCGUG